UCCCUGGUGGCUCAGAUGGUGAAAGCGUCUGCUUGCAGUACAGGAGACCCAGGUUCAGUCCCUGGGUCGGGAA
rfam:Ovis aries breed Texel chromosome 10, whole genome shotgun sequence.